AUCUGAUAAAUGGGAUAUUGUAAAAUGAUGUUGUAAAAUAAUAAAGUAGGCUUUUGGUGUGGCAAAAUGGCAUAAUUUUUACAACGGCAGCCACGGAUGCUCUUAGGAUUGGGCAAAUACCACUCAAGUCUAAAAUAUUUCAAAAUUGAGCAAUUAGGUCCCUAAAAGACAUAUUAGUCCCUAACACCCUUAACACUGUUACCCCUCCCUCAUUUUUCUUUCCCUCACUUAGAACUCUCUCUAGUCUCUUCUCUCUGGUUCCUCUUCCUCUUUCAAUCCCAGCCAAAGCCAUAACAAAAAAUCCCAAAUCUUACCACAAAACUCAAAUAAUAGAUGGCUCUUGCUUUUUGUUUCUUGCUUAUAAAUUCCCCGCACAACAAACGAUUCUCUCUCUUUCUAUGGAGGAAAAAACACUGAAAGUUGAAAUAAAAGGCUGAAAGGAAAACAAAGUGCUGAGAGAGAACCCCAAAAAAAGCUGUGCUACAAAAAUAAACAAGGCCGAAAUAGUCAUCAAAAUACCCACCGUUUAUGCCCUAUGUGGAUCACCGGCUAUGGCAAGGAGUGCAUAAGAAUAGCUAAAACAAAGGGUGACAUUGAGUGCGAAGAUCAGAACCUUCAUGUACCCAUUUGGAAUGAGGAAAAUAAUUAACGAGUUUGAGAUCAUAAAUGUGAUAGCAUUACAAACGAGGAACACCUGAAAAAGGCCAUCUGGUGGUUGCAGUACUGCUUGUAACAGUCAACUAUCAAGCGGUACUCAGCCCUCCUGGUGGACUUUGGCAAGAUGAUGGUCUGUGCAAUACCACUGAAAUAGGGAGUAGUCCUGAUGGAACCACUGAUUUGUCCAAUACAAUAUUAUUGAAAACCAAAGUAGGUUUUAUUAUGCUCAAUACUGACAAUAAAGCAGUGUGUGAACACAAAGCAAGGACAGCCAUUGCUUUCGAAGAUGACCUUUUUCAAGUUUUAUUGUCGGUAUUGGACAUAAUAAAACCUGCUUUGGUUUUUGGUAACAUUGUAUUGGACAGAUCAGUGGUUCCAUUAGGACUACUCCCUACUUCAGUGGUAUUGCAUAGACCAUUAUCUUGCCAAAGUCCACCAGGAGGACUGAGUAUCGCUUGAUAGCUGACUGUUACAAGUAGUACUGCAACCACCAGAUGGCCUUUUUCAGUUGUUCCUUGUUUGUAAUGCUAUCACAUUUCUAAUCUCAAACUCGUUAAUUAUUUUCCUCAUUCCAAUGGGUACAUGAAGGUUUUGUUCUUCGCACUCAAUGUCACCCUCUGUUUUAGCUAUUCUUAUGCACUACUUGCCAUAGCCGGUGAUCCACAUAGGGCAUAUACGGUGGGUAUUUUGACGACUAUUUCGGCCUUGUUUAUUUUUGUAGCACAGCUUUUUUCCUGGAAGCAAUGAUCAGACUCAGUGCAAUACCACACAAAGAAGCAGGGACAGCCAUUGGUUAGGAAGGAACCCCUUUUCUGAUAUUCUUGAUUUACAGUAAUUGUUCUCAUUCCAGAUGUUGCAGUAGUGAUGCUUUGCGGUGCCAGGUGGAAGCUGAUUUUGGUACCUCUAAGAGGAAGAUUCUCCCAGUGGGGGAUUGCCAGCCCCCAUCCUUACACUGUUAAAAGUUCAUGAUUGCCUUUGUCUCAAGUCACUUCCUGAAAACAUGGAUACGCUCCUCCCAUCUCAUCAAAUUUUGGAUAUUGCAAACUGUCAGCAAGGAAGAGAAGUGCUUUCCUGAGGAGGACUUCCACAAGUCUUAGCUCUCGUCCUAUAAAGGAAUUUUAAAAUCUGAGAUCUCUAGACAAGAAGGGCCUUCAACUCCUUAUCUCUCUUCAACUAUUGUCUAUCUCAGACUGCCCUAGACUAAGGCAAAUGCCAGAAGAUGGAUUUUCUUGUCUCCAUUCUGAGAUACAGUUUCAUCAAUGUCUUUCCUUGACAAAACAGUACCAAAAAAAAAAAAAAGAUUAAAAGUGUGGCGCAAGAUUGCUCACAUCUCUAUCAUACAAUCAAUGAUGAAGUCUCAUUAUCUGAGCCAAAAGUGUAGACGAGAUCAAAUCCCACUUCACAGUAUGGUACUUGUUCCACUUUACCCUCUAAGCCUCCAUUUGAUUUUAUUUAUGCUUCUUUCUUACGUUGUUUAUUGAUAAAUAAAUUUGAAAAAUUUGUUAAUCUGAUAAAAAAUGGAAAAAUAAAAGGAUUUCUUCUAAGAGUGUUAGUCCGAAGCUGGAGUUCUCAAGUUUUUGUGGCUUGUUUUGUAAGAUUAUUUCCAUUGAUCAGUAGCAAGCGCCACAAAAGGCUUGGUCAAACACAUGCCAGAAGAGCAGUUAACAAAACAAUUGCCAAGGAAGAAGGGAAAAUAGUGGUGAAAGAUUGGUCACAUCUACUGCAUAAAAAAGGAUGCCCCAACCCAAAUCAGGGGAUUUUCUAAACUCAAAGUCUUUUGUGCACAUUCUAGUUGGAAGGGGGCUUUCAGCAUUGUCCAUUUCCUAUAUAUUAAGUUCAGGUAAUUGUGAAAUUAUAAAGACAUCAGGUAUUUUUGUUCCUUAUUUGAUGAUUGAUACUUUCUUUUAACAAUUUAAACAUAUUAUGUGCUUGAUGUAAAACAGUGUAGAAAUAUAAGGAUAAAAGAGGAAUGCAGGGAUAAACAACAAAUCCUAGGCUUCACCACAUAGAAUCAAUGUAGAAACCUUAAGCAUCACAACCUAACACAAGUUAUUAACCGAAUGCAUGAAAGUUAAGGUCGGGGGGUUAGGGUUGGGUGCCUAACACCUUCCCAUCCCUAGGUGAAGCAGAUCACCCAUUUCCAGUUUUGUAUAUGCCUUGGCCCUCAAAUAAGUGACCCACUCAAUUUUACUGUCAAUCUCACUAAUAUGUUGAUAUGUGUUGAAGUAAAUGGUGUAUACUUUAUGCUCACUUUUGUUUACUUGAACCCACUUUUGAUCUAUCAUUCACAAUUACACAAAUGAACAUACUGUGAAAUAAAAUCUGAUACCAAAAAAGAAGUACAAAGUUCAUGUCUGUAUGUGAACAAUGUGUUCUUUAGCAAACCAUCAAUAUAUUAAAAACUCUUGGGAGUUGACUCAAUGGUGGGAUAAAAAGUGCUAAAGGUGUGUUGAACUAUUCCUUCUGUAAAGAAGUUUACUCAAAAGCAGUACAACUCCUGUAACUAGACAUUCCACAAUAAAAUUUGUCUAUGGAAAUCAAAAAAUUAAAGGAAAAUAGGAAAUAUUAAUUGCAAAAAGAGACAGUGUCUGAUUGGUUGGCUUCAGUUUCAAGUGAGGUUCUAUGCUCUUCAAGCAUACUGGUAGUGUGAUGAUGUAUUCUUCCCAUAUGAGGCUAUUAUUCAAAUGCCAUUCUUCCCAUGUGAGGCUUAAAAAAAUGAUUCUUUGAAGAGGUGGCUGAGGUUGCUUGUCCACUGCAACUUAAACCACUGAAAACCCUAGCUGUAUGCCCAAUAUUCUAGAAACCUCUCUCUCUCUCUCUGAACCUCCAUGGCUGACCACCAAGGUCAGCCCUUCUCAUCUCGUCAGUGACAAACCAACACUUAAAUGGCCAUCCCCUUGAUCUUCCCCUCUAUCCAUCGAUCUUACUUUCUUAGAGCUCUCAAUAGUUGAUGGGCACUAUUGUUUUUCAAGCUGAACCAGCAGGUGUAAACUUUUUUGUGAUUCACCCAUAGAAACUCCGAUGCACAACACAAGACUACCUAUCAGUCUAGUAUCAGUCAUCGAUCUCUAUUCUUGGAGUUUUGAAUUUUGUCCUCCUGUCCAUGCUUAUUAAUGAUGUGUCUAUUUCACAAUUAUUACUUGUUUACACACAACUAACAAUAAUAGUUUCUUUAUGUUCGGGGGAGAGUUCACCCACCCUCAUUGAGGGUAUUCAUUGGGUUUAGAGGUUAUCAUCUAUAUAAGUUACUUUUACUAAAGUUUGGCAAAAAUACUUAUUAAAGAAAAAAAGUUUUGCACUAAUACUAACACAUGCCAUGCCUUACACACACGCUUCAAUUUGAAGACACAAAAAAGUGAAAGCAGUGAGAAUAUAUAAAGGAUGAUAUCAUAUGGGAUUGAAUAAAAAAUCUGCCUCUGCUUCCUUCCAUUGUUUUUAUCUUUUUCUAUACUAGCGAUGGUUGAUGUUAUGGAUCAUAGUAUAGACAUGUUUUUUCAGUGCACUUUGAAAAAACCUGUGGUUAGUCUUCUAGGAGAUUGCACUGGUGCCAGGAAGGAUUUGCUCCAUAGAUACUCACACAUGCUAUCUCCCUAGAUACUCACACAUGCUUAUGCCCCCAUAAUAGCUGGCAAUGUUUGAUAUUGUCCAUUUGAACCACCCCUCUAUCACUCAACUUGUAGUCUAAAUAUAUCUCAGUGGUUGCCCCCUUGUCUCCAUGCUUCUGAAAAUUCCAUUAGUGUUUGGAAAGAUUGGGUCCACAGAGUGGCUUUAUGCUGAGAGAGAGAGAGAGAGAUGGUGUUGGUGGCUGGGGUUUGCUGUGGAGGAACAUGGAUGCUUCUAUUCUUUUAGAUUGGAGAGAUCGAAGAGAGAUGGAGGUGUUUAGGCCAAGAUCAUAUUGAGAGAGAGAGAGAGAGAGAUAUUGGUGAGAGGAUAUUGGUUAUAUUGCCUGCGUGACCUUGAUAACCAGCAGAGGAUAUUGGUUAUCGGAUCCAUAACACUUCUUAGGCCAUCAUUUUGGCAUAAUUGAGCUACCACAGUGCAGUUAAUUUGCAUACACUGACUGUAUACAAAUUUACUUGGUCUCUCUUAGAUAUCUAGGUAGUGUGCACACUGGCAUGCCAUAGCCUUGGCUACAUGCUCACAUUAGGCUACCAUGGCCUUGGUAACGUGCAUGCAGGCAUGCCUUGGCUUUGACAGCGUGCACAUGGGGCUGCUAUGGGCAUGCCAACAUGCCUAAUGGAGGUUAUUUGUGCAUGCUGGGAUGCCUAAAUGAGGUUAUUUGUUCAUGCCUACAUGCAUGCUGCAUCGCCUUGCUCCCCUCCCCUUUGGCCAAAUUGUGUUCCUAAAUUCAUUCCAAGAUUUUAGUGAGGGUUUCCAGUAAUCGGUUCAGCAUUUUGAGCAUUUUUAAAAUUUUUAUGAUUUUUCCUAUUUUUCCACUUUUGAAAAUCGUUAAAAAAAAAAUAUGUUGAAUUUGGACUUGAAAUUUUUCUUACUUCAAGAUUGGAUUUUUCUUAGCAUGUGUGCAAAAAAUCAGGACAAGAUUCAAAGAAUUGCCCUAAAAAGGGUCAUUAUGUUUCCUCAAAAAAUCAAUAUUUCCUAGUGCUAGGAAGGAUCUGCUCCUAAACGCUCUUUAGGGAGGAGUAGUUUGGCAAUGCAUGAUGGCAACCCCCCAUGAGCUUGGCCACAGGCAUGCUUAAGCGAAGGUAAGAUCGCCCACUGUAUUGCUAAGUGGUUAGUCUUAUCUCAAGGUGGUUUCAAUCGAUAGGCCAGUGAUAUUAAUUUGUAUCUAUGCAAUCCCACUAUAUGUUUGCAUAGUCUAGUGAUAUUCAUCAAUCACCUUAUAAUUUUUUGGCUUGAGUGGUUAGUAUUGAUUGAUGAGUGUCCUAAAAAAUUUAAAAACAUGAAUUAAAACUAUGGUGUGACACAUGUAUGAAAGCAUGUCAAUUUCCAAAAAUUAGGUAUGUAAGUCUAUAUGUUUACAAUUGGUUAACUUUGAAUAUAUAUAAAUGCUUAUGUGAAUUGAAAAUAAUAUUUCAGAUACAGGCUUGAAAUGCAAGUUGGUGAUACAACAGAACAUGCAAAUUUUGUAGUAUUUGUCAAGAAAGAAGAGAAGUUGCCUGGUACACAACUCUUCAAUAUGGAAGAAGGAUGAAGAUGGUGACAAUAUUAUUCCACAUUGUAUCAAAUGCAUAAUUGGAAAAACCUACAUCUUCCAAGUGAAAGUUACAAUUUCUUCAUUGGCAAACAAAACUUUACGGCAACUGGAGUAUUUGAAAUUGAAGGAAAUGAACAAUAACAGGUAAAAAUGGUUCACUUAUACUUUAUUGAUGAAGUUAUAAUAUUAUCAGUGAUACAUAAUGACAUAUUGCAAUCUUUGGUUAUAGGAAACAACAAAAAGAGGGACUAAGAAUGGAAAUGAAGUAUCCAAAGAAACAAUUUUUGCUGAAGUAAAGAAAACAAAAAUUUUGAAGAAAUAAAUCCAAAAUGAGAAUGUGGAAGCUCAGAUAGAAGUGUUAGAUGAUUAGCGAACAUAGAAAAUAUUUAAAUGAAACUUUGAAUAUUUAGACUACAAAUCAGGUCGUGAUGUUGUGCUUUCUGAUAGAAGAAUAGAUACUUCACAGCCUAACGACUAGUGAAGGUCAUAUUUUAACUCUGCAGCAAAACGGCACCACAUCUCAUUAUUACAAACGGUGACGUUUUGGGUUUUAAAGAGAAUUCUUUCAGUCAAGCUACACGACAUCGUUUAGCCUUAGAGCUUCAGAGUCCGUGUUAGCAUCUUCUUCAAAGGAUUAGCUGCUGAGAUAUUUUUUUGUAAUUAGAUAUUUUCUGUUAAGAGCACAUUAAUCACACGUGUAAAUAGAGUGUAACUGAUUCCAAGCUUUACGGAAUUAUUGUUAGUUGGUUAGAUUAGGUUUAAGCUUAUCUCUUGAUCUAUAUAUAGAGAACUAUACCCAUUGUAUUAUUCAGUUAGUAUUGCUAAUAUUCAACCAGAUAGAUUUUACUCUCUGUUCUUUCU